rnacentral:lncRNA from 1 species
GAGAAACUAAAUUCAAUAUACACAAGACCAACAGAACGGAAUCGCCGAAUCGGUGAUGACGGGAGAGCAGUGAAUCCCAGUGAUGUUGAGUUUAAAAAAGAAAAAUAAUUUUGGAAACUUUUUCGGUGAGCUUGAGAGGAUGGAUGCACAAAACAGAUUUGCUAUGAUUUUCCCUGGAUUUAUAGACGACGAAAUUCCCCGCUCACCGACCAACAUCGAUUCCAGACGCAUUUGCAGAGAUUUCAAGUUAAGAGAAAGCGAUCGCAUGCCUGCAGAUGGUUUCCGCAGUUUAUGUCGUAGUUUCGAUCAUCCUCUUCAGUUUUGAGUACUACUCGAACUCCGUAUGAUAUUAUUCUGCCCGGUGUAGACUGAAACUCCUCUGAAAUUACAAGUUUUGGCUCAAGGCUAAACUCGUUGAAGUCUACGUUACUUGGAACGUGGAAGAUGAACAUGUGAUGUGCUGAGAAUGCCUCUUUGUCAUUGCUGCUACGAGUACUCUCCGGUGGGAGAACGAAAUCGGGCUUGAGGUCAAUUCGGUAGGACUGGUUAUCUUCCUGUUUACAGCUAUAAGAAGAUGACGAGAGCUUUAUGUGAUAAGGACUCUGACAAGCAAUUAUGAUACAGGCAUCAAAACCCACAAACUCAGAGGCAUGCCAUAUUGGGGGUAUGCUGAUUUCUCUGGAAUAUUCCCUUGCUUGAUAGUCGAAGUAGAUGGGCACUCUACUUCCAGAUAAGCAAGCAAAACGCUGAGGCACCUAUUAAGAUCAAAUAUAAAAGAAAAGAUAUGGAACUGGAAUCGAUGUAUGAAUUGAGCAAGGGAGAAACACAAGGGAAGAAAGUUCACCUCUUCCUUUCGUCCACAUCUCAGAAAUCGAUCCAUCAGAUUCGCAACUUCAUUCAAUUUGGGGCAGUAGCUAAGAUCAACGUGUUUUAUGGAAUGAUCCAAGGGAAGGUGAAUAAUUUCCAGGGAAGUGCAGCCACGUGCAUAGAGAGAUGUAAGGUUUGGUGGAAGCUGUACCAUUGACUUGAGUUUCUUGCAGUCAUUGAGGCAGAGAGUAUUCAACAGCCUAAGGAAUCUGAUAGUUACAGGCAUCGUCACCAUAUCAUUUCCGCUGAGGUCUAAGUAUGUUAAAUUGGUGCAAUGACUAAACGUAUAUGACAAUUCAAAAACAUCAUUGCAGUUGUCAAGCCAAAGCUCAGCUAAGCGGUAUCCACGCUCAUCUUUUCUGGCAGCUGAAUGUCCUAGUGGACUUUGGAGAAGUAUACAGUUAGAAAGUUUGAGUGUCUCCAGUUGAGGUAGUUUUGGUAGUGUUUGAAGUUUGAGGCAGUUGCAAAGCCUGAGAGAUUUCAUACUAGAAAGAUUUUCCAUAUCUGUGGGUAGGCAUGUGAAAUCAUUUCCGCUGAGGUCCAGUUUUUGUAGGACCUGCAAAAGGCCAAUGUCAUCUGGGAUGCUUUCUAUGUUUAGGUUUAUGAGAUUUAACUCGGUUAACCAGAGGAAAUCUGAAAAGCUAUAACACUGGAAAGAGGCACUGUCUUUACGGUAGAUGAACUGCAUGAUGUCGAGUGAUUUAAAUCCGUAAAACUCAGACAUGAGCUUAGGCGUCUUUUGUACUUGCUUCAGAAAUUUGUUAGGGGUCCAUUGCUCGGAACUAAAGCAGAGGUGGUCUGCCUUUCCUCGGAGAUGUGACAACCAAAAAUUUAAUUUGCCAUGGAUGGCUAGACUCGUAAGAGAGUUCAGUGUAACUACAGCAUCUGGGAAACUCAAUGAAGCUUGCCGAAAAAGCCCUGGGCUACGUUUUUGAAGGGCAGGCAAUUCUCCUAUAAUCAUCUGAAGAUUGAUGAGGCGAUCACAGUGGGAUACAUCAAGUUUCUUCAGUGAAGGUAAGCUACCAAUUGUUUCCGGGAUUUGCUCCAACCUCGUGCAACCUUUAGCAAUCAGCUCCUCAAGCUUUGUUGCCCUUGAAAGAUCUGGAAGUUUGGUCAGAUUCUUAGAUCCAGUGACAUCUAGCAUCCUUAACUCCAAGAGCGACUGAAUAUCAUACAACAGAAAGGACAGUUUGGAUGGCGUUGGUGACAUUCUAAAUUUGUAAACGCUGAGAGUUGAAAACUGAAAAGCAAACUACAAGUUUCGUUUAUAGCUUACCAUUUUUCCAUCCCACAGGUUCUCCAGAUUGCUGUAACGCAGAUGAAGUUCAACAAGACGACUCAGAGGAAAUGUGGGAAGCAAGGUUGUUAAUGGAUAUGCGUCCCAAUGCAAUAGCCUAAGGCUGCGUGGAAGUACCAUACGAUUCUUUGAAUUGAUAUUCAGCUUGGACUCUCUAUCAUUUAAGUGUUUGAAGAAUUUGAGAAAUAUGAGAUUUUCCAUCUGCUCAAAAGCACUCCCAUCUAUGGAUGCUGCUCGGGGCAAUUCACACAUAUGUAGUGUCAUGCCUUGGAUUCUCUCUGUCCCCUGAUGAUUGAAUGUCAGAUUUACUUAGCAUACACAAAUAAAAGCACAAGAAGAAACCAUAUAAGACAAGUCCUAUGGAAGAAUAAAAAACAUGUCGUUCCUAGAAUACUUACUGUUUUGCUUUCCAGUACGCCAUAACUGUUAUGAGGAUCCCACAAAAUUCUUUGUUGUCGAGUUUCAGAGAGAAGGGUAGAAACACGGGAGACUGGUUCUCCAUUGAAAAGACAUGCGACCCUAAUGAAAAUGGUCUUGUCUCGUAGGUCCAGAUUGGUAUAGCUACUUCUUAAAAUAUCCAUGAUAUUCUGGUGAGGAGCUGUUUCAAGCGUGUCUAUUGCAUCUUCCCACUCGUCUAUAGAGGUCGCUCCACGGAGAAAUGAACCGAAAGCUACCAGGGCUAAAGGAAGACCUUGAGCGAGCUGAGAUGCUCGAAUCGCAAAACGUUCAUAUCCAUCAAGUGAAUCUAGCAAUCUUCUGUCACGUGUGGUUAUAAUGAUUCGGCUCCCUGGACCAAACCAGCUAGCCUCCUUUGCCAAGGCAUGUAACUGCUCCACUUUAUCAACACCAUCAAGCACAAAGAGAACCUUGAGGGUUCCAAGCCUUGACCGAAUAAGGUUUGCACCGUUUUGGAUGCUCAUCAAGGCCACUCGUUUUGUACUUAGAAUAUCGCAGAGAAGUUGUUGUUGUAUACAUUUUAGAUCAACUUUCUUACAGAUUUGGCCGACAUCUUCAAUGAAAGAAUGAGCUGGAAAUUGGCUUGCAAGCUGUUCAUAUAGAUACUUAGCAAUGGUAGUUUUUCCGAUGCCCCCCAUUCCCCAUAUUCCAACCAUACAAACCUCGGCAUCAAAGUCUUUCUUCAAGAGAGGUCUUAUGUUUUCCAUGUGAGCUUCCAUACCAACUAAAUCUUCAAAAGAAGUUGCUUGCAUAGAAGCUAACCGGCUUGAGAUGACUUCAACAAUUUCUUCAAGCAUCAUAGCCUCGUCCGCACUGCAAUGACAUGGUAGUAAUAAAUGAAUAUAUAGACUACCUUUUCUUCUCCAGGAGAAAAUAUAAGAAACACUUACCAAUAUCUGGAAACCAUGCCUGAGAGAUUGGCUACCAUGCACAGAGCUACUCUCCACCUUUGCACAAUAUCCGCGAAUUCUGGACCCUGGUACCUUUCUAAACCAAAACUUCCUCGCUGGUGUCUCACGUCAGAGGGAUCAACUUCAUAGAACAAGGGAAGGACUUUGAGUUUACCAAGGUUGUACAAUUCCAUUAUUAAUUGCAGUUCCAUCAAGCACCACCUUGACGUUGUGUAUCUUUCAGAGAGAACCACAACAGCGAACUUUGAACCUUCUAUGGCUCUGCGGAGGUGGCUAGAAAUAUGAUCACCUACCUCAAGAUCUUGAUCGUCUUUGAAAGUAAUGAUUCCCUUUGCACCAAGUGCUGCGUACAAAUGGCUGACAAUGGUUCUACGUGUAUCUUCCCCACGGAAGCUUAGGAAGACAUCAUAGUUACAGGGAGGAGGUGAAGACAAAGAC